rnacentral:lncRNA from 1 species
AGAGAAUCACCUAGCUUAGUAGUGAUGUCCAGGUCCUAUUACAGGACCACAGAGAAUCACCUUGCUUAGUAGUGAUGUCCAGGUCCUAUUACAGGACCACAGAGAAUCACCUAGCUUAGUAGUGAUGUCCAGGUCCUAUUACAGGACCACAGAGAAUCACCUAGCUUAGUAGUGAUGUCCAUGUCCUAUUACACGACCACAGAGAAUCACCUUGCUUAGUAGUGAUGUCCAGGUCCUAUUACACGACCACAGAGAAUCACCUUGCUUAGUAGUGAUGUCCAGGUCCUAUUACAGGACCACAGAGAAUCACCUAGCUUAGUAGUGAUGUCCUGGUCCUAUUACAGGACCACAGAGAAUCACCUAGCUUAGUAGUGAUGUCCUGGUCCUAUUACAGGGCCACAGACAAUCACCUAGCUUUGUAGUGAUGUCCAGGUCCUAUUACAGGACCACAGAGAAUCACCUAGCUUAGUAGUGAUGUCCUGGUCUUAUUACAGGACCACAGAGAAUCACCUAGCUUAGUAGUGAUGUCCAGGUCCUAUUACAGGACCACAGAGAAUCACCUAGCUUAGUAGUGAUGUCCAGGUCCUAUUACAGGACCACAGAGAAUCACCUAGCUUAGUAGUGAUGUCCAGGUCCUAUUACAGGACCACAGAGAAUCACCUAGCAUAGUAGUGAUGUCCAGGUCCUAUUACAGGACCACAGAGAAUCACCUAGCUUAGUAGUGAUGUCCAGGUCCUAUUACAGGACCACAGAGAAUCACCUAGCUUAGUAGUGAUGUCCAGGUCCUAUUACAGGACCACAGAGAAUCACC